UCCGGAGAGGGAGCCUGAGAGAUGGCUACCACAUCCAAGGAAGGCAGCAGGCGCGUAAAUUGCCCGAAUCCUGACACAGGGAGGUAGUGACAAGAAAUAACAAUACAGGGCUACAACUAGUCUUGUAAUUGGAAUGAGUACAAUUUACAUCUCUUCACGAGGAUCAAUUGGAGGGCAAGUCUGGUGCCAGCAGCCGCGGUAAUUCCAGCUCCAAUAGCGUAUAUUAAAGUUGUUGCAGUUAGAACGCUCGUAGUCGGAUUUCGGGGCGGGCCGACCGGUCUGCCGAUGGGUACGCACUGGUCGGCGCGUCCUUCCUUCCGGAGACCGUGCCUACUCUUAACUGAGCGGGGGCGGGAGACGGAACGUUUACUUUGAAAAAAUCAGAGUGUUUCAAGCAGGCAGCUCGCUCUUGCAUGGAUUAGCAUGGGAUAAUGAAAUAGGACUUUGGUGCUAUUUUGUUGGUUUCGAACACCGAAGUAAUGAUGAGAAGGGACAGUCAGGGGCACUCGUAUUCCACCGAGAGAGGUGAAAUUCUCAGACCAGUGGAAGGCGAACCACUGCGAAGCAUUUGCCAGGGAUGUUUUCACUGACCAAGAACGAAAGUUAGGGGAUCGAAGACGAUCAGAUACCGUCGUAGUCUUAACCAUAAACCAUGCCGACUAGGGAUUGGGGGAUGUUCACUGAUUGACUCCCUCAGCACCUUACGGGAAACUAAAGUCUUUGGGUUCCGGGGGGAGUAUGGUCGCAAGGCUGAAACUUAAAGGAAUUGACGGAAGGGCACCACCAGGUGUGGAGCCUGCGGCUUAAUUUGAC
rnacentral:rRNA from 1 species